CCGGUAGGGGACCAUGGAAUUCCUGGUGUAUCGGUGAAAUGCGCAAAUAUCAGGAGGAUCUCCUGUGGCGAAGGUGGUGGUCUGGGCCGGAACUGACGCUGAGGAGCGAAAGCGUGGGUAGCUAACAGGAUUAGAUACCCUGGUAGUCCACGCCGUAAACGUUGGGCACUAGGUGUGGGGUUCUAUCGACGGUCUCUGUGCCGUACCUAACGCAUUAAGUGCCCCGCCUGGGGAGUACGGCCGCAAGGCUAAAACUCAAAGGAAUUGACG
rnacentral:rRNA from 1 species